AAUUUUUUUAAUCAGAAUUGUGGCUCUUCUAAAGAAGGUUCAUACAGAAACGGCAGGGCCCCAUGAUAAACAGCCAUUGUUAGGGCCAGAAGAGCUAAAACCAGAGUACGACGCAGUACUAAAAAUAAUAUAUAAAAUACGUCCAUUUAAAGCGAAUAGAACUGAACAAUUGCCGUGUAAGCAGCACUGCUGCCUAUACUCGACUGAGCCAUUAAUUGGAACACCGACGCAUUGUGCGCCUUGAAACUCUAGCGCAGGCUUCGCCCCAGGCUAGGCCGCACUACAGGCCUGACAAAUGCAGAGUACCGGCAGCCGGCAUGUAGCGCCGGACCCAAGCAUUCCCCAUCGCUAUCACAUAUUACCAGAUCACGAUGCACCUACCUGCGGAAGUCGCAGCAAAAUGCCGGCUGCCUGGACCAACUCGCAGCCCACACAGCGAAGGUCGAUCUCGGUAUUCACGUCUAUACCAUCCACGACGGACGGUGUUAAGGCGCACCUCUCCUCCGCCAUCAGGCAGUUUUCCAACGAAAUCAUCACGCCCGAGUACAGCUUAUCACCGAUAAGAAUUCCAUCGGAAGAGACAGCGCUGGAAUUAGCAGCCAUCUUCUUUUCUUCCAUUGACUUAGUUUGCAAGCCGGCGCUCCCAGUCUCCUCUUUAGAAAAUAUCGGCGCCUCUCCCUGCUACGUGCCAAUUGGCUGUUAGAACUAUCGCCUCUACGCUGAUUGACCGAACAGUCUGUCAAUCAAUUCUUUGUGCUUGAAGAACUCCUUUGACGUCGGAAAAUGUGCCCCCAGCUGUUUUUCGCAAGCGCCUCCCAUUUCCGCAAGAGUGACAUAAACAGGAGGAACCAAAAAUAAGAGAGGACGUCAUGUUCUGUAUGACACGUUUGUGGGAGGCUAAGCCUGUUUACAGGAAAUACAGGCAGGGCUUCAUAUGUGUGUCUUCGUGUAGUUCCAGUUUUAAAGCAAUUGAAUGAUUAAAAGAGAGUAAACGGG